UUAAGACCUAUGUUGUUCAGUAGCAACACCUUUGGCGCCCAAGCACUUAUAAUCAUAUCUUGCAUUGUUUCUUUCAUAAUUUUUUAUAAAAACAGCUUGACUAAUGUUAGGUGAGACACAUGGUAUACAUUAUGUGCAAUAUCGUAGCCAGGAAUUUUUUUUGGGUGACUGCUACAUGACUUUGCAACUUGGGCAGUUUAAGCCAUCCCCCUCCCCGGCUUUUCCAGGUGUUUAGAAUUGAAUUAACCCCACUUUCCCCAGUUUUCCAGGUUACUAACUCCCUUCUAUUCUUCCUACGAGCUUUGGGAGAGAGCACCAAUCGGCUCCAACCUCGACGACCAACGCCUGGUGGUGUUGAGGGCUGUACAAGCCGGAAGGUCAAGGCGUCUUUGGACUGAAGACUCCUCCCCACUGCUUUGUUGCAAUAAGGAUGUUUAUUCUCUCUCUCGAUUGCCCUCAGAGUUUCUAUAUAAAGGCCUUCAAGUUUGGC
rnacentral:lncRNA from 1 species